CAAAAACAUUUCCUCCUGGUUUAGGAGGUAAGGCCUGCUCACUGAAUAUUUAAAGAGCCGCAGUAUCCUAACUGUGCUAAGGUAGCAUAAUCAUUUGUCUUUUAAUUGGAGACUGGUAUGAAUGGCUAAACGAGAAAUUAACUUUUUUUGUUAUAUAAAUUGAACUUAAUUUUUCAGUGAAAAAGCUGAAAUUUUUCAGAAAGACGAGAAGACCCUAUAGAGUUUUAUGUCUCUAAAUAUAUUAUCUAAUUUGAUUUUUAUAGAUUUCAUAUUAAAGGACAUUUUGUUGGGGCGACAUUAAGAUAUAAAAAACUCUUUAUUUUCAAAAUUUUUAUAAAAAUUUUGCUUGAUCCUCUAAAAGAGAUCAAAAGAAAAAAUUACCUUAGGGAUAACAGCGUAAUCUUUUUUGAGAGUUCUAAUCGACAAAAAGGUUUGCGACCUCGAUGUUGGACUAAAAUUUAGGCAGGGUGCAGCAGUUCUGCUUUUAGGUCUGUUCGACCUAUAAUA
rnacentral:rRNA from 1 species